UGAAUAUCGUAGAGAAAAUCCCGCUUUGUUUGUAACCACAACCCUCGCCAGGCUCCCUCGCCAGGCUCACACCCGUUCCACUCACCACGACUCCGACAUAGGAGUCUUCAUCACCCGCCGCCUCCGUAUGCCCACUAGACGAGUCGUGACCGCCACUGCUACACCACCAUCAGUCUCUGUUCCACCGCGACAUUGCCUUCGUUCUGUCUCCCGUCAAGUCAUUUGCGUUACUCUUCACCACCAACCAUCUACUGGUGCUUAUGUCCGCCAUAUUCGGGAUCAUAUUGGCCCAUCCGCAUUUCAGCCCAUGUAUCUCCAUGGGGGGACUAUCACCACUUUCUGCGCCUGCGAAAACUGAUUGCAAUACUUGCCUGCUCUCUCAGUUGAGACUUUGAGGAACAGACAGGCAUCUACAGUUGGGAUGCUAGGUUUUUUUGGUGUUAUGGUUGAUUUCCCAAGUUUGAUCGACUUAAAAAGCAACUUUUAAGCACAACUAUAUGUUUGGCAUCUUUACAAUUGUAGAGCUGAUAAUUGCAAAUGCUAGCAUGGCUAUUGUAAUUAGAGGCACCCUGUAAUCAAUAGUGGAACAGAAAUGUUGGCGAGGGGGUGAAUUUCUUACUUUUCAAUUUCUCUUCUUUUCCUUUUCAACUCAAAGCUUGUUUGACAACCAUUAUUGUUUAAAAAAUGAGUUUUUAUUA